GCCCUCUUGGCCAAGCGGCUAAGGCACCUGUCUUGUAAACAGGAGAUCGCUGGUUCAAAUCCGGCAGAGGGCA